rnacentral:rRNA from 1 species
UACGGGGGGAGCAAGCGUUGUUCGGAUUUACUGGGCGUAAAGGGCGCGUAGGCGGCGUGACAAGUCACUUGUGAAAUCUCCGGGCUUAACUCGGAACGGUCAACUGAUACUGUGCGGCUAGAGUGCGGAAGGGGCAACUGGAAUUCUUGGUGUAGCGGUGAAAUGCGUAGAUAUCAAGAGGAACACCUGCGGCGAAGGCGGGUUGCUGGGCCGACACUGACGCUGAGGCGCGAAAGCCAGGGGAGCGAACGGG